AUUGAACGCUGGCGGCAGGCCUAACACAUGCAAGUCGAACGGUAACAGGAAGAAGCUUGCUUCUUUGCUGACGAGUGGCGGACGGGUGAGUAAUGUCUGGGAAACUGCCUGAUGGAGGGGGAUAACUACUGGAAACGGUAGCUAAUACCGCAUAACGUCGCAAGACCAAAAAGGGGGACCUUCGGGCCUCUUGCCAUCGGAUGUGCCCAGAUGGGAUUAGCUAGUAGGUGGGGUAACGGCUCACCUAGGCGACGAUCCCUAGCUGGUCUGAGAGGAUGACCAGCCACACUGGAACUGAGACACGGUCCAGACUCCUACGGGAGGCAGCAGUGGGGAAUAUUGCACAAUGGGCGCAAGCCUGAUGCAGCCAUGCCGCGUGUAUGAAGAAGGCCUUCGGGUUGUAAAGUACUUUCAGCGGGGAGGAAGGGAGUAAAGUUAAUACCUUUGCUCAUUGACGUUACCCGCA
rnacentral:rRNA from 1 species